rnacentral:rRNA from 1 species
AUUGAACGCUGGCGGCAGGCCUAACACAUGAAAGUCGAGCGGAGCGGCGGACGGGUGAGUAAUGCCUAGGAAUCUGCCUGGUAGUGGGGGAUAACGUCCGGAAACGGGCGCUAAUACCGCAUACUAUCAGAUGAGCCUAGGUCGGAUUAGCUAGUUGGUGGGGUAAAGGCCUACCAAGGCGACGAUCCGUAACUGGUCUGAGAGGAGGAUCAGUCAAACGGGAACUGAGACACGUUCCAGACUCCUACGGGAGGCAGCAGUGGGGAAUAUUGCACAAUGGGCGCAAGCCUGAUGCAGCCAUGCCGCGUGUAUGUAGAAGGCCUCGGGGUUGUCAAGUACUUUCAGCGGGGAUGCGUUACCCGCAGAAGAAGCACCGGCUAACUCCGUGCCAGCAGACGCGGUAAUUC